rnacentral:rRNA from 1 species
GAUGAACGCUGGCGGCGUGCUUAACACAUGCAAGUCGAACGAAGCACUUGGAUCUCUUCGGAGUGAUGAGUGACUGAGUGGCGGACGGGUGAGUAACGCGUGGGUAACCUGCCUCGUACAGGGGGACAACAGUUGGAAACGACUGCUAAUACCGCAUAAGCGCACAGUAUCGCAUGAUACAGUGUGAAAAGCUGAGGCGGGACGAGAUGGACCCGCGUUGGAUUAGCUAGUUGGUGGGGUAACGGCCUACCAAGGCGACGAUCCAUAGCCGACCUGAGAGGGUGACCGGCAACAUUGGGCCUGAGACACGGCCCAAACUCAUACGGGAGGCAGCAGUGGGGAAUAUUGCACAAUGGGCGAAAGCCUGAUGCAGCGACGCCUCGUGAGCGAUGAAGUAUUUCGGUAUGUAAAGCUCUAUCAGCAGGGAAGAAAAUGACGGUACCUGACUAAGAAGCUCCGGCUAAAUACGUGCCAGCAGCCGCAGUAAAAC